AGCAGCCGCGGUAAUUCCAGCUCCAAUAGCGUAUAUUAAAGUUGUUGCAGUUAAAAAGCUCGUAGUUGAAUUUCGGGAUCAGUGCGCUGGUCGUGCCUUCGGUAUGUACUGGUGUUACUGGUUCCUACCUUCUGACGAACCGUCAUGUCAUUAAUUUGGUGUGGCGGGGAAUCAGGACUGUUACUUUGAAAAAAUUAGAGUGUUUAAAGCAGGCUCGCGCUUGAAUACAUUAGCAUGGAAUAAUGAAAUAGGACGUUCGAUCCUAUUUUGUUGGUUUCUAGGAUUGACGUAAUGAUUAAUAGGGAUAGUUGGGGGCAUUAGUUUUCAAUUGUCAGAGGUGAAAUUCUUGGAUUUAU
rnacentral:rRNA from 1 species